rnacentral:misc_RNA from 1 species
GCAAACUUGGUCAUUUAGAGGAAGUAAAAGUCGUAACAAGGUUUCCGUAGGUGAACCUGCGGAAGGAUCAUUAUUGAAUAAAAUUGGUUUGGAUUGCUGCUGGCCUUUGUCAUUAGGCAUGUGCACAUCUAUUCCAACUUUAUAACCACCUGUGAACUUUUUGUAGAUCUGAAUUUAACCGGUCCGAGUUUUCGAAACUUGGUUGAAAGAGUUGCCGGGCGGUAUGUAUCGUACGCCGGCUCUUCUUUAUUCUUUCAGAUCUAUGUUUUAUUAUACGCCAAAAGUAUUCGAAUGUAAUAGCUUGGCAUCUUGUGCCUAUAAAAUAUAAAUACAACUUUCAACAACGGAUCUCUUGGCUCUCGCAUCGAUGAAGAACGCAGC